ACAUCUUAACGAGAAUGGUGUU
rnacentral:snRNA from 1 species